GACGAACGCUGGCGGCGUGCCUAAUACAUGCCAGUCGAACGAGAGAGACCGGUGCUUGCCCUGGUCAAUCUAGUGGCGAACGGGUGAGUAACACGUGGGUAACCUGCACUUCAGAGGGGGAUCACAUCCGAAACGGUUGUUAAAACUGCAUAGGUCUUCGAGCCGCAUGGCUUGUUGAGGAAAAGAGGCGCCAGAUUCUGCUGAUUCAUGGUACCUAGGUGGAUUAGCUAGUUGGUGGGGUAACGGCUCACCAAGGCUGUGAUGCGUAGCCGACCUGAGAGGAUGAUCAGCCACAUUGGAACUGAGACACGGCCCAGACUCCUACGGGAGGCAGCAGUAGGGAAUCUUCGACAAUGGGCGCAAGUCUGACGGAGCAACGCCGCGUGAGUGAAGAAGGUUUUCGGAUCGUAAAGCACUGUUGGUAGGGAAGAACAGGUGCUAGAGUAACUGUUGGCGUCUUGACGGUAUCUAACCAAAAAGCCACGGCUAACUACGUG
rnacentral:rRNA from 1 species